CAUUACAGAAAUCCCAAUUAAGCGAGAGCUCAGCACGACUGGGCGAGCAGACCAAUGAGUAGUCAUACUCGUUGAUCAAUAAUCCUCACAGCCUGACCAACUGUGGGGAAUGAGCGUGUUUGCGUGACACGGCACGCAUUCACGGUGAAGAGAGAAAAAGCGAAAAAAAGAGCUACCCUAAAGCUCAUGAAAAUGGUUUGAUCGCGUAUCCCGGCGCUUUCUUCCAUAUAUAUAAAGCAUUGCACAAAUAAUGAGUUUUGAGCUGGGGCUCAUUAGUGCACAUUACGAUUGCAUGGUUGUGGCAACCGGUGAUCGUUAACUGCAGCUUUGUCUGCCUACGGUGGAGCGAUCCAGUUCUGCCUUUCGCCUGUGCCUGGUACAUUCGUGUACCUACGCACAGUUCUGGUUGUGACAGGGUGCCUACCCGUCUGAUGCUCUUUGUUAUGCUUGCCGUCUGUAGAUGGUCAGUCCAUAUCAGGAGUGACGGGAUGUGCUGUCAAAAUUGGCAGUGCUAGGCUUAAUGAGUGGUUCGACAUAACGAGCUACGGCUCAGCCACCGCCCUGUUUGCUGUUUGUUGCAACAAAAUCCCAUAUUACACUGUUCAAGUGGUUCAGAUCGGACAUUGCUCACCCAACCGGUUUGAAUCAUUGCCCGACAUGCACCUGGUCUCGUACUGGAAUGCAUGUGCAGUCGCCUGGCGGUGCCUUAUCCUGGGCUAGACUGAGUAACCAAGCGUCGCUCAUCCGAAUCCCUGGAUGUUCGAUGUGAGUACAACUCUGUGCGGUGGAUCACUCGGCUCGUGUGUCGAUGAAGAGCGCAGCCAACUGUGUGAAUUAAUGUGAACUGCAUACUGCUUUGAACAUCGACAUCUUGAACGCAUAUUGCGGCCAUGGGUUAGCCUGUGGCCACGCCUGUCCGAGGGUCGGCUUAUAAACUAUCGCGACGCCCAAAAAGUCGCGGCUUGGGUCUUGCCAGCUGGCGUGAUAUCCCCUAUUUGGUCUUGUGCCUUUGUGGGGUGCCAGAACUAUGGCGUUUCCCUAAUGUACCCGGACGCACCAUGUUACGGCUAAAAGCCUUGACGAGAUGUGUCGAUAGAGUCGUGGCUCAGUUAUAUAUUUUAUGUGCGCGCUCUACCGUCAUGUUUUGUCUAUGGUUGGCUUGCUGUGGGUGGUUGUGUACCGAUGCUGACUAAUGUAUGUGCCAUAUGGCUCAUCAUUU
rnacentral:misc_RNA from 1 species